rnacentral:rRNA from 1 species
UACGAAGGGGGCUAGCGUUGCUCGGAAUCACUGGGCGUAAAGCGCACGUAGGCGGAUUGUUAAGUCAGGGGUGAAAUCCUGGAGCUCAACUCCAGAACUGCCUUUGAUACUGGCGAUCUCGAGUCCGGGAGAGGUGAGUGGAACUGCGAGUGUAGAGGUGAAAUUCGUAGAUAUUCGCAAGAACACCAGUGGCGAAGGCGGACUCACUGGCCCGGUACUGACGCUGAGGUGCGAAAGCGUGGG